GGACGACGCUGGCGGCGUGCUUAACACAUGCAAGUGGAGCGACGAACCGGGGCUUGCCCCGGGCAGAGCCGCGAACGGGUGAGUAACACGUGGGUAACCUGCCUCAAUGAUUGGGACAACCCGGGGAAACUCGGGCUAAUACCAAAUGUGUUCACUCCUUCUAAGGGGAGUGAGGAAAGGAAGCUUCGGCCUCCGCAUUGAGAUGGGCCCGCGGCCCAUUAGCUUGUUGGUGAGGUAACGGCUCACCAAGGCUUCGAUGGGUAGCUGGUCUGAGAGGACGAUCAGCCACACUGGGACUGAGACACGGCCCAGACUCCUACGGGAGGCAGCAGUGGGGAAUCUUGCACAAUGCGCGAAAGCGUGAUGCAGCAACGCCGCGUGGGGGAAGACGGCCUUCGGGUUGUAAACCCCUUUCAGUUGGGACGAAGCUUCGUCGGUGAAUAGCCGGUUGGAGUGACGGUACCUUCAGAAGAAGCCCCGGCUAACUACGUG
rnacentral:rRNA from 1 species